UACGGAGGGUGCAAGCGUUAAUCGGAAUUACUGGGCGUAAAGCGUGCGCAGGCGGUCAUGCAAGACAGAUGUGAAAUCCCCGGGCUCAACCUGGGAACUGCAUUUGUGACUGCAUGGCUGGAGUGCGGCAGAGGGGGAUGGAAUUCCGCGUGUAGCAGUGAAAUGCGUAGAUAUGCGGAGGAACACCGAUGGCGAAGGCAAUCCCCUGGGCCUGCACUGACGCUCAUGCACGAAAGCGUGGGGAGCAAACAGG
rnacentral:rRNA from 1 species